CUAAGCUUCUAAAUUCAAUACUACACACUGACCCACGCGACGACCCCAAUGUCGGGUAUUCCAACCCUAUGAUCCUUGAUGAACUGAAAUGUCAGGGGCCUGUUGAAUUUUUUGUCACUUCUUUGUCUUUUUCUCAUGGACCAGUGGCAACGACUCGUUCACAGUAUUCUGGCAAAAAUCAAUAUCGAACGUCAUGAAUACGCGGUUCUGAUAUGAAAAACAUAUUCAGACGAACCGCCAUUUUUUCAAACUGAUCUCUUAGAUUUCGGUCACAGAUCUGCGAAUUUUUCAGCAAUGAACUGUCGUCAAACCUUCUUGAAAGCCUAGAAAAUACUCACCUUCAAAAUGGUCGUAUCUCUGAAAAUUUUUCAUAAAGUUCGAAGCCUGACGUUUUCACUUUGGAAUACCUUUUGAAAAAUUAGUCUCAGUUACCCCUAGCAUUGAAAUAUUUGUUCUGAUAUUAUACGAAAAUUUUUCACAGAGAUUCGAGCAUUCGAAAUGAAGCGUUAUUUGGCUCGAAAUUGAGGUAUUACUAAGAAAGUUUCGAGAUGUUUAGUAUUAACAAGUAAGUUAGACUAAUUAGCCAAACGACGAAGUCGAUGCGUCGAAUUUUUUUAAAUUAUUCUUGUUCCGCUGAGAGAUUUUGGAAAAAUUAUAUCGACAAGGUCGAGAACCCUGUCAAGUAUAAUAUGUGUAGCGGAGAUUGCUGUGAGCGAUGGACGGACGAACGCGAGAAUCUCGCUCUAAUCACUCUCCGGAAAUUUUGUACCUCCUACUCGUGAUUCAAAAAAUCGUUACUCUCCCCGUAAUCAUCGAAUGUUUGACAAUUUUCAGCUUAAAUCAUCAUAAAACUCACAAUCAGACAUACCCGGGUCACGAAUGGACAGUUAAAUAUUCAAUAAGUACGUCUUAAUCUCCAGUCGCGGCAAUAACGAUUGACAAAAUGUGCUGUCUUCCGCUUUUCAUCUCGCACCAAUUCAAGAUAUGGUAAUGAACAAACAAUCUAAUAAACCUGGAACGAGCUUUUUGUUUACGUUGGGUCCGGGAAGGACUUUAAUCUUUUCGACGUACCAUCCUACAUCCACUUGGGUCUGUAUCACUCGAGGGCGAAGAACAGUGCGUUUUAUCUGUAGACGCGUAGUAGACGUGUUAUCAAAAGAAUGUGUAUAUCUUACUACUUAAAAUGUAAAAUCUACGAACUCAUGAAAUCUUCAAUACUCCAACGAAGAGUCUUCAGUUUCAUUUUUCACUAUAUGCGAUGUGUUUGCUUCCUAAAAAGCUAUAAUAUUAGCUCUCGUUGAAACCAUGAUCACAAAUGUUUCGAAACACAUAGUUUAACGUGUUUGUCACAGACAUUCUGUGCCCUAUGCAUAAUCUACAGGACUGAGAUAGACUGAGCAUAGUAUGUAAUUGCAUUUCUACGAGCAGGUAAUCGUGUGCUUAUCUUGAAUGAAUGAUACAGAAAAUGAGGAACAUCGUUAUAAUGUGUCACUCAUGAUCAGAAAGCAACUCUCCAGACUAAAAUUCAAAGAAAUUUGAUGAUUUUUGAAACACAACUCGACCCGUUGACUGAUUACGACUUUUCACCCACAUGAUUGCGGUCCGAAUGCAAAAAAUAACGUCACGGAUUUGUGAUGACAGUUCGAACAAAUAUUUGGCUUAAGUUACGUUUUCAGUUAGAACUCGAAAAUAUGGUGAAUAAACGUGACAGAAUUUGUAAUUGUAGAGUUAUACUAAGACCAACACUCAAUUCAUGUCUUUUUUCCACUUUUCAAAGUUUAUUUUCAAUUUUCAUGUAUAUUUUAAGACUUCAGAGAUAAGCUGCCCAUUCAUCCAAUACAAAUUAAGACUACCGCAAACAGAGCGAAUUCUAAGUAAUACAGAAUGCAAUGAGUGCAACGUGAUUUAUGGUCUCGUGAUAAGGUCACAUUUUUCUUUCCAAGGUACCAGUUCAUUUCGACUAUUAUUACUUCGUCUGCAAGAUGUAUUGAGUUGUGAGUACAUGUAGAUACCAUUGAUUUGUUUCGUGGAAACCUAAACAAAUUUCGGAAACGUCUUUUCGAUUGAAAUAAAUAUUGUCACUAUGGCUAUCCACUGCAAGUAUGCUUUUGCAAAUUUCUAUCGUUCUGUAACUGACUCAGUCAUCGAUACAUCAUAGUUUUAGAAGCUCAGCUUGUUUUCUAUUUCGGCAACUGAAUAUUCAGAACUAUGCUUCGUAAAAUCGAAAGAUUGUUAAAAUACGGCGGGUUCGUUAUUUUGCACAAGGUACAAAAGCAUCCACAGCUCCGCGAUUCUCAUUUGUAGAAUUGUACAAAUAGAACAAUGAUUUUGUGAUUCUUGAAAACGAUAACAUGACGGAAACACUGGCUUUAUUAGUUGGCAGGAAUGACGUAUAGAGAACAAAAGUAAUCUCACCCCAUUAAGAUUACGCUAAUCUCAGCUGGAAAUAUUUUCUUCAUACAUAUCAUUUGUAACGAUCCAUUGAGUACUGCAUGAAUAGUAUUACGUUCAGACAUAAUUCAUGUGGAAUGUUUAUAUCCUCAUAAAUUUACCCUAUCUUGUGUUACUCAAAAUAAUCAUAAUCCUAGAUUUCAUUUUAUAUCAGCUCUAAUUUAUACCGUAUUUCAGAUAUGCACUGAAUUUACGACGACUUCUUACUUCUUGGUUUGCAUUAUAUGACGAAAGAAGACCCCAAGAUCUGAUGCUUCUCUUUUUCGUAAAACCAAACCAGUGCAUUCUGCAUUCAAGAGAAGAGAUGCGAUUCCAUAGAAAGUAGCAAAACGUUUUAGGGUAUUUUCUCGGAUUCGGUUAACGGAGCAAAUGACCGGUUGAUUAGAUAUCUAGCAUACUCCGGGAGUUCAUUAGCAAUGGUAUCAACGUCUUCGUUGCCUUGGCCUUUGUCACGCAUGCCAAUCUUUUUUGUUUCUGCACGACUCACUGACUUUUCAGACAAACUGAAACUAUUUUUCGCAAGUUAUUGCUUCGAAAGGUUACCGAUACCCUUCCUAUCUCUUUCCAAGAUCGAGAAUUUCAAUUUCUUGUGCAAUUACACGGUUCGAAAUUCAGUUUUCAAGAGAUCUUUCCUGAACCACCAAAGCUCACAGGACUCCUCUCACGAGCAGUUGGUUGAAAUGUUCGGCGUUAGUUCGUUCGAGGGUCUUGAUUUUUCAGAUAAGGCCAGUUGCCCAAUCGCUCGAACAGCCUGAUUCCGGUGUUUAUUAUCCAACGACAAUUUUUCAACCGCUGCAGCACCUCCAUCACCAUGGACGGAUGUAAUUUGCUGUAAUGUGGGACGAAUUGACCCAGCCAUUUCGAGCUUGUACUUUGACCCUGUUGAACACAGAUUACUUGAAUUAUGAAUAUAAAUAUGUUUUAAUUGCUCGGUCUUGGAAGAACGAACUGAAUCGAACUAAUUACUAAGUAAUGUUGGAUCAGCGUGCUCGGUUAUUUGAUUUAGUUCGCUCGAACCUCUUCAACUUACCAAUGGAACGAAUAUGUGAAUACUCACCGAUGUUAUUCACCGUAUAAUUUGAAGUUUCCGCUAGCGAAAUGCUUUUAAUUAUUAAUCAGCACUGUUGCAGCCAAGAAUUAUAUUAUCUGUCAUGCUUUGAGUCAACAUCUAUAAUCACGAGAGACCAGCUGUUGGACUUGAAGCUCAUUCAUGCCACGUGUACGAAGCAAAUGGUUAAUUAUUAUCCCAGUGUAAUUUCGAUCAAAGAUGAUUUAUUGUCAAACUCUUCUACAAUCUUGUAAAACAGACGUUUGCGUUGGAAACAUUCCCGUGCCCUUGCCACGCGAAGGAUGUCUGAAGUUGGCGAUCUUAUUUCAAACGUACUAGUUGGAGUUGUACUCGAUGGCGAAGGGUUGAGGUCAGGAAGCACGCUGAAAUUACGGUUGGUUCAAGGCACUACUCGAGGAUACUGUUCACCUUGUUCUUCUCGAAUGACUACACCGGCCGCGUCCAAAGUGGAAUUUGGAACCUUUGUGGUCAGGUGUGAAAAUUUUGCACGCGGCCAUACCUUAAGACACAAUGUGUC